rnacentral:rRNA from 1 species
UUUCGGGUCUUCGCUUCUCGCGGGGGCUCGGAGGUCGCGGAUCCGUCUUCGAAUUUGCGGUGAAUUUACCAGCUCGGGGGGGAUUCCUUUCGCUCUAAAAAGGCGGGGGGAGUCUUCUUCUUGUUGGAUCGCAAAGUUUUACUUUGAAUAAAUUAGGGUGUUCAAAGCAGACGAAUACGUCUUGAAUAGAUUAGCAUGGGAUAAUAGAAUAAGACCUUCCUCCGCGAUCCGUCGCGGUUGGCUUAUAUUUGCUGGUUUCUUAGGCCAGGGUAAUGAUUAAUAGGGACGGUUGGGGUCGCUCGUACUCGGUGGUGAGAGGUGAAAUUCUAAGACCCAUCGAAGACGAACAAGUGCGAAGGCAUUCGACAAGGAUGUUUUCUUUAAUCAAGAACGAAAGUUAUGGGAUCGAAGAUGAUCAGAUACCGUCGUAGUCAUAACCGUAAACUAUGUUGACUCGGGAUCUGGGGAUGUUACAUGGAUGACUCUCCAGGCACCGUGUGCGAAAGCACAAGUAUUCGAACUCCGGGGGGAGUAUGGUCGCAAGGCUGAAACUUAAAGGAAUUGACGGAAGGGCACCACCAGGUGUGGAAUCUGCGGCUUAAUUUGACACAACACGGGGAAACUUACCCGGUCAGGACGCGAUGAGGAUUGACAGAUUGAUAGUUCUUUCUUGAUUUUGUGGAAGCCGGUGCAUGGCCGUUUUUUAGUUGGUGGAGUGAUUUGUCUGGUUAAGUCCGAUAACGAACGAGACCUAACUCUAUUAAAUAGUGGUGCGAACAAGGGAGCUCUCGCGGCAGGCUCGGGUUCUCCCGGGUUUGUCGAGGUGGGGCUUCCGUUCAUUUGUUCGUAGCGAACGAUACUUCUUAGAGAGACACUUGGUCGAUAACAGCAGCCAAUGGAAGUUUUAGGCAAAAACAGGUCUGUGAUGCCGCUAGAUGUCCGGGGCUGCACGCGCGUUACACUGAUGUGUUCAACAAGUAUUACAAAAUGACCUGGCCCGAAGGGGCUUGGGCAAUCUCGUAAUGCACAUCGUGAUGGGGAUCGUGCUUUGUAACUAUCGCACGUGAACGAGGAAUACCUAGUAAGGACAGGUCAUCAACCUGCCCUGAUUACGUCCCUGCCCUUUGUACACACCGCCCGUCGCUUCUACCGAUUGAAUUACUCGAUGAGGACUCGGGAGGCGGGGCACGAUCCGGUUUUACCGCCGGUGACGUUUUGCCGAACCUGUUCGAAUCUCGUAGUUUAGAGGAAGAAGAAGUCGU